GUGGUCAAGCUAAUAAGGGCUAACGGUGGAUACCUAGGCACACAGAGGCGAAGAAGGACGUGAUUACCGACGAAAUGCUCCGGGGAGUUGGAAGUAAACAUUAAGCCGGAGAUGUCCGAAUGGGGCAACCCCAAGAACAGCCUGUUGAAUAUAUAGACAGGUAUGAGCCAACCCAGCGAACUGAAACAUCUUAGUAGCUGGAGGAAAAGAAAGAAAUUCGAUUCCCCUAGUAGCGGCGAGCGAAGCGGGAACAGCCUAAACCAGUUGUCAAUACAACUGGGGUUGUGGGACAGCGACAUGGAAUCUAUUAACUAGACAAAGCAGUUAAAAGCUGCACCAGAGAAAGUGAAAGUCUUGUAGUCGAAAGUGAAACGAUACUAGCUGCAUCCCAAGUAGCACGGCUCACGUGGAAUCCCGUGUGAAUCAGCGAGAACCAUCUCGUAAGGCUAAAUACUACUGUGUGACCGAUAGUGAACAAGUACCGCGAGGGAAAGGUGAAAAGAACCCCAAUAGGGGAGUGAAAUAGAACAUGAAACCGUAAGCUUACAAGCAGUGGAAGGACGAUUUAACGUCUGACCGCGUGCCUGUUGAAGAAUGAGCCGGCGAGUUAUAGGCACUGGCAGAUUAAGACGAUAAUGUCGAAGUCACAGCGAAAGCGAGUCUGAAAUAGGCGCAAAUAUUUUAUUGAAGNNNNNNNNNNCGACCGAUGUUGAAAAAUCGGCGGAUGAGGUGUGGUUAGGGGUGAAAUGCCAAUCGAACCCGGAGUUAGCUGGUUCUCCCCGAAAUGUGUUUAGGCGCAGCGGUUGUGAUUAUAGUUGGGGGGUAAAGCACUGUUGAGGUGCGGGCUGCGAGAGCGGUACCAAAUCUCGACAAACUCAGAAUACCCAAUGUACACACAGCCAGUGAGACGGUGAGGGAUAAGCUUCAUCGUCGAAAGGGAAACAGCCCAGACCAUCAGCUAAGGCCCCCAAAUUGUCACUGAGUGAUAAAGGAGGUGGGAGUGCAAAAACAACCAGGAGGUUUGCCUAGAAGCAGCCACCCUUGAAAGAGUGCGUAAUAGCUCACUGGUCAAGCGCUCCUGAACAGAAAAUGAAUGGGGCUAAGUGACAUGCCGAAGCUGUGGGAUAAAUCUAUCGAUUUAUCGGUAGGGGAGCGUUCCGUUGAGAGUGAAGCAGUAGCGGUGAGCAGCUGUGGACGAGACGGAAGUGAGAAUGUCGGCUUGAGUAGCGAAAACAUUGGUGAGAAUCCAAUGCCCCGAAACCCUAAGGGUUCCAGAGCCAGGUUCGUCCACUCUGGGUUAGUCAGGUCCUAAGGCGAGAGCGAACGCUGUAGUCGAUGGAUAACGGGUGAAAAUUCCCGUACUAAUUUAGGUUUGUGCAGAGGAACGAAGAAGGCAAUUGUCAGCCAGCGAUUGGUAGUGCUGGUUUAACUGUCCGAGGUGAUGAGAAACGGUGAAAACGUUUUGAGCUAAGGCAGGAGUACGAGCGGUGAAGACUGCGAAGUGACAUAGUCAUGCUUCCUAGAAAAGCUCUCAACACGUUAAACCUAAAUUACCUGUACCCGAAACCGACACAGGUAGGGAGGUUGAGAAUACCAAGGGGCGCGAGAUAACUCUCUCUAAGGAACUCGGCAAAAUGACCCCGUAACUUCGGAAGAAGGGGUGCCCACCUAAGCAGUGGGUCGCAGUGAAGAGAUCCAGGCGACUGUUUAACAAAAACACAGGUCUCCGCAAACUCGAAAGAGAACGUAUGGGGGCUGACGCCUGCCCAGUGCUGGAAGGUUAAGGAAGUCGGUUAGCUAAAGCAAAGCUGGCGACCGAAGCCCCAGUGAACGGCGGCCGUAACUAUAACGGUCCUAAGGUAGCGAAAUUCCUUGUCGGGUAAGUU
rnacentral:rRNA from 1 species